CUGACGAGCAGCCUGGGUUAGUUUGCCAGGGCCGCCGUCACAAAGGACCAGACUGGUGGCAUAAACAACAGAAAUUCAUUUUCUCACAGGUCUGGAGGCCAGAAGUCCUGGAUUAAGGUGC